rnacentral:rRNA from 1 species
AAUCAACGCUGGCGGCGUGCCUCAGACAUGCAAGUCGAACGAUUAAGACUCUCUUCGGAGAGUGUAUAAAGUGGCGCACGGGUGAGUAACACGUAGGUAAUGUACCGAAGGGUGGGGAAUAACUUAGGGAAACUUAAGCUAAUACCGCAUAAUGCAGCGGCUCGACAUCGAGACAGUUGUUAAAGGAGCAAUCCGCCUUUUGAGCAGCCUGCGGCAGAUUAGCUAGUUGGUAAGGUAAUGGCUUACCAAGGCUACGAUCUGUAACCGACCUGAGAGGGUGGUCGGUCACACUGACACUGAAUAACGGGUCAGACUCCUACGGGAGGCAGCAGUCGGGAAUUUUGGGCAAUGGGCGAAAGCCUGACCCAGCAACGCCGCGUGAAGGAUGAAGUAUUUCGGUAUGUAAACUUCGUAAGAAUAGGAAGAAUAAAUGACGGUACUAUUUGUAAGGUCCGGCUAACUACGUGCCAGCAGCCGCGGU